UACGUAGGGGGCAAGCGUUGUCCGGAUUUAUUGGGCGUAAAGAGCGUGUAGGCGGUUUGGUAGGUCCGUUGUGAAAACUCGAGGCUCAACCUCGAGACGCCGAUGGAAACCAUCAGACUAGAGUCCGGAAGAGGAGAGUGGAAUUCCUGGUGUAGCGGUGAAAUGCGCAGAUAUCAGGAAGAACACCGGUGGCGAAGGCGGCGACCUGGUCCGAUACUGACGCUGAGGCGCGAAAGCGUGGGGAGCAAACAGG
rnacentral:rRNA from 1 species